UACAGAGACUGCAAGCGUUGUUCGGAUUCAUUGGGCGUAAAGGGUCCGCAGGCGGUCUGUUAAGUCGGAUGUGAAAUCUCACAGCCUAACUGUGAUAGGUCAUUCGAAACUGGCAGGCUCGAGGAAUGGAGAGGAAACUGGAAUAGCUGGUGUAGCGGUGAAAUGCGUAGAUAUCAGCUAGAACACCGGUGGCGAAGGCGGGUUUCUGGACAUUUCCUGACGCUCAGGGACGAAAGCCAGGGGAGCAAACGGG
rnacentral:rRNA from 1 species